rnacentral:lncRNA from 1 species
UCUUUAGGUGUUAACGAUGACUACGUGGAUGUUCGCCUUGCAGUUUUAAGUUUUGAGGUAAAAAAAUUUUUAAUCAAAAGAUAAAAGUAAACCUUGUCAAAUCGAAUUGAAUGACUAUUUAUAAAUUAAUGGAUAAACACUAGUUUUAAGUUUUGCUGCUGUUAACUUUUUUUAAUGGUUAAAUAAAUUUAUGGUUGACUAUUUAUAAAUUAAUGGAUAAACACUAGUUUUAAGUUUUGCUGCUGUUAACUUUUUUUAAUGGUUAAAUAAAUUUAUGGAUAAACACUAGAGCCUACAAAAAGUAUAAGGACAAUAGGUACACUAAAAGUGUCAAGUCAAAAAAAUACUUAAAAAAACAAAAACAACCAACAACAACAAAGAAGGAAAAAAUACAUCAGAAAAAACCACAACAUAAACAACAAACAAAAAAACUAAAAGAGAGAAAACCGCACCAACCCUGCAGCAGAACG